rnacentral:rRNA from 1 species
CCCUUAGAUGUUCUGGGCCGCACGCGCGCUACACUGAUGCACUCAACGAGUCUCCACCUUGACCGAGAGGUCCGGGAAACCUUCGAACUUGCAUCGUGAUGGGGAUAGAUUAUUGCAACUAUUAAUCUUCAACGAGGAAUACCUAGUAGGCGCAUGUCAUCAGCGUGCGUCGAUUACGUCCCUGCCCUUUGUACACACCGCCCGUCGCUCCUACCGAUUGAAGUUUUCGGUGAGUUGACAGGAGGAUUUUUUUGAAACUGGUUCGCCAGUGGAUUUUAGAUCCAAAUGCCAACGAAUCGAUGGCUUUAGAGGAAGGAGAAGUCGUAACA